rnacentral:misc_RNA from 1 species
UCAAACUUGGUCAUUUAGAGGAAGUAAAAGUCGUAACAAGGUUUCCGUAGGUGAACCUGCGGAAGGAUCAUUAACAAAUCUGGAUGUGCGCAUUCGUGCGCAUAUUAGCCCUAGGCUUGGCACUUUUGUGCUGGGUCUCUGGUAGUGGUGGGUUGGUGAUCUGCGGCGUUAGCUCGUCAUUCUUGACAGCUUCGGCCAAACGUCACUGGCCCAACAUUGACGCUUGUACAUGUUUGACAGAGUUUGUGUAUGCAAAUACAAAAAUGACAACUUUUAACAAUGGAUCUCUUGGCUCUUGCAUCGAUGAAGAACGCAGC